rnacentral:rRNA from 1 species
GACGAACGCUGGCGGCGUGCCUAAUACAUGCAAGUAGAACGCACAGUUUAUACCGUAGCUUGCUACACCAUAGACUGUGAGUUGCGAACGGGUGAGCAACGCGUAGGUAACCUGCCUGGUAGCGGGGGAUAACUAUUGGAAACGAUAGCUAAUACCGCAUAAUAUUAAUUAUUGCAUGAUAAUUAAUUGAAAGGUGCAAUUGCACCACUACCAGAUGGACCUGCGUUGUAUUAGCUAGUAGGUGAGGUAACGGCUCACCUAGGCGACGAUACAUAGCCGACCUGAGAGGGUGAUCGGCCACACUGGGACUGAGACACGGCCCAGACUCCUACGGGAGGCAGCAGUAGGGAAUCUUCGGCAAUGGACGAAAGUCUGACCGAGCAACGCCGCGUGAGUGAAGAAGGUUUUCGGAUCGUAAAGCUCUGUUGUAAGAGAAGAACGGGUGUGAGAGUGGAAAGUUCACACUGUGACGGUAUCUUACCAGAAAGGGACGGCUAACUACGUG